rnacentral:rRNA from 1 species
CGUGUAGGCGGGGAUGCAAGUCAGAUGUGAAAUUCCGGGGCCCAACCUCGGCACUGCAUCUGAAACUGUGUCUCUUGAGUGCUGGAGAGGAAAGUGGAAUUCCUAGUGUAGCGGUGAAAUGCGUAGAGAUUAGGAGGAACACCAGUGGCGAAGGCGACUUUCUGGACAGCAACUGACGCUGAGGCGCGAGAGCGUGGGGAGCAAACAG